AAGGACAGAAUAAUGGGCUCCAGAUUCACAAGCCCCACCAAGAGGAUCACCCCAGGAACCCUUGGAGGCUGAGGAGUUCACUGAGGCUAGUGCAUCUCGAGACUCAGGAUGAAGACCCAACUUGGGGCUGUCAAAG
ensembl:misc_RNA